rnacentral:rRNA from 1 species
UACAGAGGUCCCAAGCGUUGUUCGGAUUCAUUGGGCGUAAAGGGUGCGUAGGUGGCGUCGUAAGUCAGGUGUGAAAUCUCGGAGCUUAACUCCGAAACUGCAUUUGAUACUGCGGUGCUUGAGGACUGGAGAGGAGACUGGAAUUUACGGUGUAGCAGUGAAAUGCGUAGAGUUCGUGAGGAAGACCAGUGGCGAAGGCGGGUCUCUGGACAGUUCCUGACGCUGAGGCGCGAACGCCAGGGGAGCAACCGGG